rnacentral:rRNA from 1 species
GACGUAGGGGGGCGAGCGUUGUCCGGAUUUAUUGGGCGUAAAGCGUGCGUAGGCGGCCGCUUAAGUCGGAUGUGAAAGCCCCUGGCUCAACUGGGGAAGUGCACCCGAAACUGAGUGGCUUGAGUACUAAAGAGGGUCGCGGAAUUCCCGGUGUAGAGGUGAAAUUCGUAGAUAUCGGGAGGAACACCGGUGGCGAAGGCGGCGACCUGGGUAGAUACUGACGCUGAGGCGCGAAAGCGUGGGGAGCAAACAGG